rnacentral:rRNA from 1 species
AUUGAACGCUGGCGGCAGGCCUAACACAUGCAAGUCGAACGAGUGGCGCACGGGUGAGUAAUGUCUGGGAGACUGCGCGUUGGGGGGGGAGAACUACAGUAAACGCUAGCUAAAACAGCGCACGCUAGCAGGUGCGCCGAUGGGAUUAGCUAGUAGGUGGGGUAACGUCUCACCUAGGCGACGAUCCCUAGCUGGUCUGAGAGGAUGACCAGCCACACUGGAACUGAGACACGGUCCAGACUCCUACGGGAGGCAGCAGUGGGGAAUAUUGCACAAUGGGCGCAAGCCUGAUGCAGCCAUGCCGCGUGUGUGAAGAAGGCCUUCGGGUUGUAAAGUACUUUCAGCGAGGAGGCGUUACUCGCAGAAGAAGCACCGGCUAACUCCGUGCCAGCCGCCGCGGUAAUAC